CUUUUUACCGUGAGGCUUCACUUCCCUCGGUCUGGGCUUCUCUGAGGCGGCGAGAGAUGGUCAGGUCUGGAGCUCGACCGGGCCAGGUGAGGGCUGAGGACCUGAGGAGUCCGCUGUGGGGAUGGAGAGGGACAGGGGGGUUUUCGGGCCAGGAACUUGUAAAACUCUGCUCGAAAAAAGACAAAGACAAUGCGGCGACAUUAAAGUGCUGGGACAGAGGUGCAGGGAACACCUAAUCUUCCCGUCGUAACACGGCCGCUCGGUCUCUAGAUGUUUCUGUUUAAAUCGUCGUAGCCCUAGUCUAGAGCGCCGGCUUUGGGGUCAGGCCCGGGUUCGAGUCCCAGCCUUCGCCGCUGCGUCGAGUGACUUAACCUCUCCUAGCUUCAGUCACCUGCAGAUUGAGAGUCUACUACUUUUUACUGCUCAGAACUUCCUAUUCCUUAGCUGCAAAAUAGGCAGAAAUAAGCAUAAAAUCCUGUCUCAAAGAAUUGAGAAGGUUAAAUAAGAGAACCCGGUAAAAACAUCGAUCACACAGUUGUUGUAGACAUACAACAAAAUUUAGUUCCCUUUAAAACACGUAGUUUGCCACCAUCUUAAUGAUAACAGCAGCCAACAUUUAGAUAGGACUUAUGUGGCAGAUGCUACUGUAAGUGCUUUUAUGUAUUACAUAGAAUAACUCAUUUAAUAGUCACGAUAUCCUUAUGAGGUAAGUACUAUUAUCCCUAUUUUAUAUAUGAGGAAAUCGAGGGCUGGAGGAUUCAAAUAACUUGGCAGUUACACAGCUGUGGAAACAAGAUUCAGACUCACAAAACUGAUGCCAGAGUCCAUUCUUCUUUUAAACAUUUUACCUAGUAGAUGUAUGACUUUGAACAAACCACUUUUCUGAAAUUUAGGUUCCCACCUCACAAAUAAUAACUCACAGGGUAUGGAUUAAGUGAAAAUGAAAGACCUUAGCACACUGUAAGUCAUUCUACAAAGGCAGUAUUAUCUUGUACUUGUUGGUAGGAGAUAUGACUACUAAGAAAUGCUUAUAUGAUUCUCAAAUAGCAAAAUUAAAAGUUUAAUGAUAAUAACCUCGUAGAAGUAAGUGUAAAAUAAAGCAAACUGAUUCUCCUGUAUUGUGAUUAGGACACUCCUUUUGGAGAGCAGCUUUGCAGUUUGUAUCAAGGGUUAUUAAAUUGCUAAUAACCUUUCACCAAAUAAUUUUCUUUUUAAUCCUAAAUAUAAAAAGGCUGUUUUCAGUAGAUAGAAAGGCUUAUUCCAGGUUUGUUUUUUUAAUUGUGAAAAAUAUGAAGCAAACCAAGACCAUUAUUAUAUUACUUCCACUGAAGGAAAUAUUAUACAACCAUUAAAAAUUUAUGAAUAUGAAAAAGAUUUAAAAGUAGAAAACACAGGAUUUAAAAUUGCAAAUAUCUAGGUAUUAUGACUAAGUAAAAAAUGCAUAUGAAAAAAGAUUGGAGGCCCCAAUAGCAAAGAACACAUCUAGUACCUAGAUCUUGGUUUCCACGUACCACUGUCCACUAAGGAGUCAUGGCUUCUUGGAGAAAUGACCAACUCCAGGGCUGAGCAGGGGUAAUAUAAGAAGAGCAUGGACACAUCAAACUAAAAAGCUUCUGCACAGCACAGGAAAUGAUUAAUGGAGUGAAAAGGCAAUCUACAGAAUGGGAGAAAAUAUUUCCAAGCCAUGUAUCUGAUAAAUAAUAUCCAAAAUACAUAUAAGGAAUUUCUAUAACUCAAAAGCAGAACAACACAUAACCUGGUUAAAAAACGAAAAAAGGAUUUGAAUAGACAUUUCUCCAAAGAAAAUGUACAGAUGGCCAGCAGGUAUAUGAAAAGAUGCUCAACAUCACUAAUCCAGGAAAUGCAAAUUAAAACCACAAUGAGCUAUCACCUAACCCCUGUUAGGAUGACAUUAAAAAAAUGAAAACAAGUGUUGGCAAGGAUGUGGAAGAAUUGGAACCCUUGUACACUGUCAGUGGGAAUGUAAAAUGGUAUAGCUGCUAUGGAAAACAAUAUGGAGAUUCCUCACCAAAUUAAAUAUAGAACUAUAUCACCCAGCAAUUCUACUUCUGGGAAUUUAUCCAAAAGAAUUGAAAUCAGGAUAUAGAAGAGAUAUUUGCACUCUUGUGUUCAUUGCAGCACUAUUCACAAUAGCCAAAUGUGGGAACAACCCAAAUUCUAUCUGCAGAUGAACAGAUAAAGAAAAUAUGGUAUAUACAUACAAUGGACUAUUAUUCAACCUUUAAAAAGAAAGAAAUAGCUGUCAUAUGCAACAACAGAGACAAAACUUGAAGACAUUAUGCUAAGUGAAAUAAGCUAGUCACAGAAGGACAAAUACUGCAUGAUUUUACUUACAUAAAGUACCUAAAUAGUUAAAACUCAUAGAAACAGAAUGUGAGCAUGGAUUGGGCGUGAACCAGAGGGAUUUUUGUUUUUUGGGUUUUUUUUUGUAAAGAACAGUAUUGGGAUAAUUGGCAACAUGUGAAUAAGGUCUGAAUAUUAGAUUGUAAUUCUGUAUCAAUGUUAAUUUCCUGGUUUUGAUAAUUAUACUGUGGUUAUGUUAGAGAAUGGCCUUGUUUUUAGGAAACAUUUAGGAGUAAAGGAGUAUUGUAUCUGCAAACUUAACUCUAAUGGUUCAGGCAAAAAGUACUGCUGUGUAUAUAUAUUGAGAGAGAAUAUGGAAAAUGUCAAGGUUCACAGAAUCUGAGUGAAGCAUAUAUAGGGCAUCUUUGUACUAUUAUUUCAUAGUAGAAACUACAAAAAAAAAUUGAAAGGAAUUGUUCCAAUAUGACAGUUACUGUUUCAAGGUGCUUUUAUCAUGGGUAGUUUUCUUUACCAGAUUUUCUAUAAUAUAGCCUUGUGUAUAUUUUUUGGAGAAACACCAUAUGUAAUCUUACAGUUAUGCCAGACAUAUACCUCAGACAGUGUACUUUAAUUGUGGUAGUUGUUUUUGGACUCGAUCCAGGGUAUAGUAUUAUAGUGUCAUGGCUUGGAUUUUUUAUUAUGAUUCCAGCCAAGACAUCGACAUAAAUAUACCAAAGGGAAGGACCCUGAGAGUGUGAUGCAGAGACCAGUGGUGUGAUGUUAUACAAGGUCUUAUUUCCUACAUUGUUGGUUCUCACUGCUGGCUUCAUGACCCUCCAUCAUAAUCCAAGUUAUCUCAAGACGUAUAACUCUUACCAACCCAGUUUUUAAAAAAUGUAUUCUCAGUGACAUUCUUAGAAGGAUGGAGCACAUAUUCAAGCAUAUAAUAGAAUGCCGUAUAACUUUAGAAAGUUUGGUAGUUACAGCUCAAAGCUAUCUGGAGAUGAAAUUAAAUAUGUGAAGAGAAAUUAUAAAUAAAACUGCCAACAGUGACUACAUCUGGAGGGUGGAACUAGGGGGGGAAUCAGGGACUUUCUCAUGUCUAUUUAAAAUUAUUUUGAAUAAAGAUUAUAUUUAUCUGAUAUAAAAUUAUUAAGAUAUAAAAUAGUAUACCAUGGAAAGUGUCCCUUCUCGCUCUGUCCCCCAGAUACUCUGUUUCCCUCCCCAGAGGCAACCAUGAUUAACUGUUUCUGGCAUAACUCCCAAGAUACUGGAUGCAUGUAAAAGCAAAUGCUUAUUUUUUCCUGUUUUUCUACACAAAAGGUUGUCCAUUAUUGUCACUUUUAAAACAAAAAAGUUUAAGAAAACAACAGUGGUAUAUGAAUUUAAAAAGAAAAAUUAAGACAGUGAGAUGUAGAUAAAGAGACAGGGUAGAGUUCUCACUUCCUGGUCUAAUCAGGCAUUCUAAAGAAUGUACAUAAAAGGAACCAGAGUUAAGAACUCUGUCCUAUAUCAUGAAUUAACUUGCAUGUUUCAAAGAAUUUGGGACUAUAGAACAUAUUUUGGGAUUAAUAUAGUCUGAACUUAGUGUAGUAGUUACUUCUGGUUUAAAAUAGUAUCUCAAUUUCCUUUUCACCUUAAAUAGACUUAAGGAACAAAUAUAUGUGUAGUUUGCUUGACGUUUUACAUAAAAGAAAUUUAAUAUAUGAAUUAAAUUAUAAUUGUGUAUUUUUAGGAUAUAUCACAUUAAUUAAAACAGUGAAUAAUGUGGUACAUACAUAUAAUGGAAUAUAUUUGACCUCAAAAAGGAAGAAAAAUUUUGACACAUGCUACAAUAUAGAUGAAGCUUGAAGACAUUAUGCUAAGUGAAAUAAGCCAGUCACAAAAGAACAAAUAUUGUAUUAUUUCAGUUAUAUAAAGUUUCUAGACUAGUCAAAUUCAUAGAAACUAGGAUGAUAGUUGCUAGGGUCAGGGAGAAGAGGGGAUGGAAAGGUAUUGUUUAAUGGAUGCAGAGUUUCAGUUUGAGAAGAUGAAUAAAAGAAAAAAAUGACAUUAAAUUUUGUCAAGAUAGCAUAUUGAAAAUAUAAUAGAAAAAUAUUUGUUUAUCUGCUAUAAUAUAUUAUGUCAUAGGUGUUAUCUUCAGGAAGGCACACUGGACCUGCUAAAUUAACAAAUGGAAAGAAAGCGUAAGUACUUGAAGACGUUUACAACUUCAGAUUUCAAGGAAUUUUUCAGGUCUUUGGGCUGGAUGACAUGUCGUCUACCCCAGAAAAUUAGGUAGGCCUCUACCAUCACAAGCUCUGAGGAACAAUUUUUCAUGUCUACCCAUGUUAAUCAUUUUAGUAUUUAACAGUCUUUCUGAUCUUCAGAAUGUGUUUAUAAAUUCAUCUUGUACAUGGUUGGACAAGCUUUCUUGUCUUUGCUGGAAAGAAAAUGACUACUUACUAAUAUAUUUUGGGAAAAAUAUUUGUAAGAAUAUUAAUAAGCUUGUUUUCCAGGACCUAUUUAAGAAAAAUACCACGUUUUAAUGCAGAUUCUGGCUAUUCCAUCCAUUCUGAUUCAGAAAGUCAGGUAAGAUUGAAUAGAUACAAUACACACUAUUUUAAUUAGUUUUCAAAUAGUAGCUAAAAAGUAGGAAUAAAAUGCAAAGUAUUAAUUGCUCUAAGGAAGUAUGAAGUCUGUUGCUUUAAAACAUCUUUUCUACCAAUAAUAGUUUGUAAAUAAACAAAUUUUAAAACUACAUAAUUUAUAUUUUUUCCUACACUAACAGUCAUAUACAAAUGUAUUCUAAAUGACUUUAUUUCUUACAGGCUGAAACUGUACACGGGCUUGAUGGUUGUGCUUCUUUGCUGAGGGACAUUUUGAGAAAUGAAGAUUCAGGUUUUUUUUUUUUAAUUCUUUGCUGAUCACCUUAUCUCAAGUCAUUAUUUUGAUGUAACAAAUUUUUGUUUUAUUAAUAGGUUCAGAAACAGCAUAUUUAGAAAACAGAUCUAAUUCUAGACCUUUAGAAAGCAAAAGAUACGGAUCAAAAAAGAAAAGACAUGAAAAACAUACUAUUCCUUUGGUAGUCCAGAAAGAAACAUGUAAGCCUUUUUUCUCUUAGUUAUUUAAAGAUAAUCCUUAAUUGUGGGUAUUUUGAUCAAUUAUCAGGAUUAUACAGUUGAUUUUCAUUUUAAUAAUCAGUAUUAGUUAGGUUUAUGUGUGCUUAUGCCUUUCUGUAUUCAGCUUCUAAUCACUGAGUAGUCCACUUUGCUUGCUAUCAUUUUCUCAAGAAGAAAAAUAGAAAAAGAGACUGUCAGGGUUUUGUAGGAGAAAAAGUUCAAACUCAGAAUGACAUUUGGGAGGUAUAUAGAGUGAUCUUAGUUUCCCCUGCCACUUGUUUUCAUAGAUAAUCAUAAAUUGGUUGUAUUUCAAGUGUAUACUUCUAGUAGUUGCUUUAAAAUUAUUAUAUUUAUAUAUAUAUAUAUCCUAAGUUGGUCAAGCUGAACUUGUCAAGCUACACAGUUAGGAUACAUGGUACAUAGGAAGGUAAAAUCGGAUGAAUAAGGAAAGGCUGCUGCUGAUUGGUGGUGAGUAUAGCCAAGGGUACUUUACACCCUCACGGCUAACUUUUCCUAGUUUAGAACAAGAAAGUUUUGAUUAUGUUGUCCCUUGGAGGCCUAGAAAACAAGAUAGCCCAAAAUGAAGAUGAAAAAGUCCACAGUGGGAAUUCAGAUGGACUAGAAUUAGACUAGCCAGUUCUAUAGUUCAGGUGGGCCAGAAAUGUCAGCACUGUAGUACGUGCUUAGAUUCAGCUUGGGCAAGGAAUGAAGUUUAGAAAGUCAUAUAAAGCAGUAGCCCUAUAAAGAGAUCAGGAUUUAAGCAAGGAGGCUGAGAAAGUGUCAGUAGAGCAUUCAUGGGACUAGAGGUUGAUGUUUCAGAUAGUCCCAAGGUAGAGAACUAAGGCAAGGGAAACCUAACUCAUCUUGGAGGCCAGUAAUGAUAGCUUUAUAUUAUCUUGACCUGUGCUAUUCAAGAUGGUAGCCACUGGCCACAUGUGGCUAUUCAGCACUUGAAAUGUGACUAGUACAACCAAGGAAUUGAAUUUUAAUGUUAUUUAAUUUAAUUUAAUUUAAAAUUAAAUUAGAAAACUGAUAAUUGAUCCAGUUAUUAUAAAACUUUUAAGUAUGUUUGGAAUAACUUGGGCAUGUGAACCUACCUUUUCAAGUGUAAAUUUUAUUAAAUCUAAAUAUAGACCAAGUAUUUCUGAUGAGAAUUUAGCAUCUAGAUUGUGCUUUGUGUAAAAUAUAUGCUAGAUUUAGAAGAUUUAAUACAAAAUUUCAGUUAUUUAUAUUAUACACUGAAAUGUUAAUAUUUUGGAUAUAUUGAUUUAAAUAUUAUGAAAAGUAAUUUUACCUAUUUUAUAUGGUUACUGGAAAUUUCAAGUUACAUAUAUGGUUUGUAUUAUAUUUCUAUUGGACAGCAUUGGUCUAAGCUCAAUACACUACAGCCAGUUUUAUAAGUAAUGUUUAGUUAUUUUAUUGUGUAAAUAAGAUUUUAUUAGAAUGCAGCCAAGCUAAUUUAUUAAUGUGUUUUUAUUAGCUGUUUUUGUGCUGCAGUGUCAGAGUUGAGUAGUUUUGACAGAGAUCAUCUGGCCUGCUAAACCUAAAAUAUUUAUUUGACCUUUGAAGAAAGAGUGCUAAACCCUGGCCUUAACUCUUUAAAGCAGAGGCCUUUUUAUUGGGGCCCAACUGAGAAAGAAAGGAGCGGUAGCACCUGUUCCUCCAGUCUCCUACUUUUUGUCUGUAGGCAGGUUAUUUCUUAUCCAGGGCACCUUUCCUCAAGGAACUAUUAUUUGCAAUAUAUGUGACUGGCAGUGGGUGUCAUGGUAUCAACUUACUGGAUCCUGACUUAACUGCCUCUGUCGGUCAGAGUUCCAACAAGAAACAGAUGGCAACACUCAAAUUGAGGUAAUUUUAGGAGGGUUUAUUUACAAAGGGACUCAUAAAGGUAUGAAUAGGGUAUAGGAAAACCACAGGUUUUGCCUACUAGGUCAUGCGAGCCUAGUGCUAGCAGCAGAGCAGCAGAGCUGUUAUCAUCUCUAGGCCAUAAGGGAUUAGGAGAGAGAGAGGUUACUGGAUCUAGAAAGAGAUACUGUUUAUAGAAUACGCUACCUUGAGAAGAGCAGUGAGCUUCAUUGAAAUGACGAAGGCAGCCCAAGGUGGCCUUAUAGAAAGGGAGCAGGAAUAAGUGUAUAUCCUGACUUCAUGCUUCUUCCUUUCCUUGAUAUGCCAAGACUCCCAUUGGAUUGAACCCAACUGAAGCCCUACUGAUGUAUAUCAGGUCUGGGAUUUGACUCUUACAAGCUAGUAAGUUAGUCUUACUGUGUCAUGGAUGCUAGCAGAAGACAAGACUGCUGGGUCAGAGACAAAGGACUUUAUUACUCACAGCACAGGAAGCAGUAUGUGCAUCAGCAUAUUGUGUUGGUUCUCAUUCACCCUAGUUCCCAUUGGGGUGAUAUGGUGGACCCAUAUGGAUGCUGCACAUGCCUUAGGUUUAGGUUGCAGCUGAGGAACACUGAGCUUGGGGAAUCCGUCACUUUGGUAGUAAGCAGUAAUCAAGCCUGUGCUUGUCCCAGAGGGAAACAUUACCUCAUCCUUCAAGGUUGCUCACUGCAGACACAACCCUGAGAAGCGGCCCAGGUAAGGAGUUUAGGUCAAAGCCUUGCUUUUUUGGUAUAUACAGCAAGACAUAUUGAAGGACUGUCUUUUUGCAGCCCAUAUGGAUCAGCAUUCCAGGGAGACCAGGGUGAAGACCAGUAGAGGUGGGUUUGGAUUGGCAGAUGGAAGAUUCUGGCAUUCUGGGUCCAUAGCGUUAAAUUCUUAUUUGGAUUACAGCCGAAUCAGCAGUUCUGGCCUGUGAUCAGGGUGCAAUAUUCUUAUUGUUCUUUCUCCCAUAUUUUCUUAAUCAGAAGGAAGGACCUACUUCCACAGGACAAUCUUCUUUAGGGUUGCAAUAUUAGAAAUUAGUUUCUAGUUGUGUGUGUGUGUGGUUGGCAGCUGUUAACCAAUAAUACAAGAUUUUGCUUUGUUACCACAAUGCUCAAAAAUACACAAAAUCCAAGCUCAUAACUUGUUCUCUUUACCGUCUCCAAGUGAAGUAAUCAUAAAGAACUUUAAGCGAUCUAUUACAGCAUGUUAACUAGUAUCCAUGUAUUAUUUUACUUUUAACACACAUUAUCUUGCUAUUUUGUGUUAACUGUCUUCUGGGGAGUGGCCUCCUUAUGUACUUUCUAUCUGGGAUGAUAUGAUCAUUGAAUGCCUACCUGAUCACUGAAUGCCUAUGGAGUCAGGUAAGCACACCAUGAUGCAUUCUGGGACUAAGGAGGCAGAGAAGCCCUUCCAGAAUUGUAUUGAGCUUAUUUGAGAGUGCUUCUGGCAUUUAAAAAAAAUAUGUAUUUUUUAAAUAAGCAACUUUUACAUGUGAUAACUGUGUUGAAUGCUUUCAUGAUUUUGCUUUUAGUAACAUACAUUGCUGUCUUCAUCUUGGGGAACUAAACCAACCACAGGCAAAAAUCCUUUGAGCAUUGAUUGCCACUCAUAAAGGCCAGGUGUUCUUACGUAUUUCAAAUUAUAGUAGGCAUCUAGUGGCUCUUACCUGCACUGGAUGUUUGUUCUAUAUUCGAGUGGCAGGAAUAACUUCCUGUCAGACAGUGCUUGCACAGCAGCUAGACUUCAGGGACUGAAAAAGUUUUGUGGACUGAGUAAAUGAAUACUUUCCUUUCAUGAAUUCUAGUUAUCACCUGACAUCACUUAAACAUUGCCAGACCAAUAGCUAAAAUUUUCAUGUAGAGUGCGUUGGUGUAAUUAACAAGAGCAAGAAAAUAUACUUCAUUUGUAUUUGUGUAGUAACAGGCUCAUUUGAUCAUUGGUUUGUUUUAUUUUAAAACUGUGUAGUAGUCAUAUAACUGCAGUCCUUCCCUUAUGGUUUCUAACUUGUCUUGGAUUGUUUGCUUUAAGACUUCAUAUCGUUAAGUAAAGUUACUCAACAUUAUCCGUAGAGAUUUGUGUGGACUGAGUUUAUAAAGGAGCAGAAUAUGUCAUUUUAGUUCUAAGGCUUUGAUUUUGAAGAAAUAGGUUUGGAAUUUAUUAAUUUAUGUUAGUUGAUGACAUCUGCUGGCUGAGGCAUAAUGUAGCUCAGCUUUAUUAGAAACUGUGAAAACCACGCCUUGAAAAGAAAGUAAAUGAGAGCCUGAUGCUGUGACCUGUGUGUGAAAUCUGAGAAUUCUUCAAACUAGCCAAUUCUUAAGGACCAGAGGAAAUCCAAGAGCAGAAGGAAAGACCCAGGAAUCAAGAGGAAAGGACUUGUGGUAUGCUAGAUGGCCAUGGGCUAUGAUCUCACCCUCUAUCAUUUUAGAUUUCAAAGUUAAAAUAUUUUAGAGGGCACUUUUCCAUUUGAUUUAUUAUAAAAUUGUAUUUCUGGUAAGAAAUAGUAUUUGCUUUACAAAAGUUUAUUAACCAGUUUUGUUUGAGCUGAUCAGAUAGUGAAGGUAACUCUUAUUACUUUUGAUUUUAAUCAUCUCAGAGGGGACAUGUUCAGAGGUUUAUUACUGACAUCAGAUAGUAUGAUUUAUGAAUAUGAUAUAUUUACUUGUCUAUUGUAAGAGUGCAGCUAUUUGGUGAUAUUUAACAUUGAGUUUUUACUGUGUGGUAGACAUUGCUUUAAGAAAUUUACAAGUGUUACGUCAUUUACAUCUCUCAAUAAUCUUAUAAAAUAGGCAUUAUUAAAAUUUUUCUGAUGAGGAAAAACAGGUCAAGAGAAGUUAAUUUGCGCAAGGUUACUCAGCUAAUAAGUGUUAAAGCUUGUAUUUAGGUCUGGAAAGUACAUUUAUAGGAGUAGAUCAUCUGAAAAGGAAGCAUACCCCAAGUCAAAAGGGAAGCAUCUGAUAUCUUCAGCCAUUUUCGUAGUCAAAUAUUGUCUUUUUCUUUAAAUUUUUUUUCUAUUUUCACUGGUUAUAGUAUUAAAUCUGCCUUUAACUUUUUCUGUUUUUGCUUUUACAUGGAAGUUUUACACUUUUAGUAAUAUUUUUAUUUUCAAUAAACUAUAUUUGAGGGAUUCUCUACUUUUAAAUUUUUAAUUAUUUUGUUUUUUAAAAAAUUAAGGAAUACUUCUCAUAAAUAAUUUUAAAGUACAUAAAUCUCAAUAAAUUUUUGCAUACGUAUACACCCCUGUAGCCACCACCUAGAUCAAGAUACAGACAAUUUUUAGCACCCUGCGAGGCUCCCUCCCUGUCAGUACCCUCACCAUCACCUAGACCCUCAUCCCUGUGUAACCAUUUUCCUGACAUCUGUUUCCAUUUGUGACUUUUACCUGUUUGAUGACUUCCUAUAAAUGUGAUUGAACACUGUGCGCCCUUGUGUUUGACCACUUUCAGUCAGCCUUAAGUGUAUUAAACAUCCAGGUAGUUGUAUAUAUCAGUACUUUGUUGGUUUUUUAAUGCUGUAUAGUAUUCCAGCCUGCGAGUAUACCACAGUUUAUCCAUUUCUGCUAUUCAUGGCUAUUUGGUGUUUUCAGCUUUGGGCUACUGCAAAUCAAGCUGCUGUGAACAUUCUUGCACAUGUCUUUCAGUAGACAUAAGCACUCAUUUCUAUUGGUGUAUACCUGGGAGUGGAAUUGUUAUUUCAUAGAAUAUAUGUACGUUUAGCUUUGGUAGGUGUGACAAAUAUCCAUAUAUUUUUCUAAAUUUAUUUUGUAUACUGAUAACCUAUGAUUUACCAGAAUAUUUUCAUUUCUGUUAAUAGUGUUUUAAAAAACCUUUGGGAAGGGGACCUAAUUAGGGAAAUAGUAUUCAGAUUGUUAUACCAAUCUAUAGGUAGUGCUAUGUAGAAAACUUUGUUGUUUUUUACUUAUUACUUUGUUAAUACCGAUUUCUACCUUGUUCAUAGACUAAUACUAGGUUCUGUAAGAGAAAACAAUGAAGUACAGCCCUGCUUAGAGAAACUUGUGGUUUAGUCAGAAAGGCAGGAGGAUGAAAGAUAAGCAAUAUAAGGCAGUGUGUCAGUGGCAUAUGAUUUCUAUAGACAAUAUGUGCUCUAGGGUGGUGAAGAGUAGUCACUAGACUGGAAUGAUUGGAUUGGAAAAGGCUUCAUGGAAGAAGAAAACUCAGAUGAGCCUUGGUGAGUGGGUAGAAUUGGAUUGGUAGGAAUGGUUCAUGAACAAUGUUAUUGGAAGGUGAGAAAAGCUUGUUGGGUAACUAAAUUGGCCUGCCUGAAAUGAAAAAUUGGAGUUGGGAGUGAUGGGGCGAUAGUUGGAAAAGUAGCUUGUGGUCAAGCUUUGGAAACUUUAAAUGCCAGGCCAAGAUUUUGUUUGUUUGGUUGGUUUUGUUUUGUUUUGUUUUUGAGGACCCAAAGCAUCAGAAUUGUACAAACUAUUCUCUUUCCUAUUGCAUUUUCCCUUGAGAACAUGAACUGACAAGGAACAAGGUGAAGGAGUUUGACUGGACUUUAGGGAUAAUAUAACUCCCUUAAAAGAAGUGUUAAAAUGAAGGAGAGAUUUUACAAAUGGCAAGUAGCAUAAAAAAUGGGAAUUGUAAAGAAUUAGUAUAGAUGAUUUUUGACUGGGGAAACUUAAACACUAAUUACUUUCAGAAAGAAUUUGAGAUGAUUUUCUUUAGUAGGGGUGAUAGUGGUAAAGCCCUUCUAUGAAGUAUGUGAUGGAUUGGACUACUUCUGAGAGCCCUUUCUUCUCUUAAAAUCUUACGGUAAAAGUUUUUGAAGAAUCAUAUUUCAAGAACUUUUUUCUUCUUCCACAUUAGCAUCUUCAGAUAAUAAGAAACAGAUACCUAAUGAAGCUUCUGCUAGAAGUGAAAGAGACACAUCAGACCUAGAGCAAAACUGGUCAUUGCAAGAUCAUUAUAGAAUGUAUUCACCCAUAAUAUACCAAGCCCUCUGUGAGCACGUGCAGACUCAGAUGUCACUGAUGAAUGACUUGACUUCAAAGAACAUCCCUAAUGGAAUUCCUGCUGUACCAUGCCAUGCUCCCUCUCAUUCUGAAUCUCAGGCAACUCCUCAUUCUAGUUAUGGCUUAUGUACCUCCACCCCAGUCUGGUCACUUCAGCGGCCACCCUGCCCUCCAAAGGUUCAUUCUGAAGUUCAAACUGAUGGCAACAGUCAGUUUGCAUCACAAGGUAAAACAGUUUCUGCAACCUGUACUGAUGUUCUACGGAAUUCAUUUAAUACCAGUCCUGGAGUUCCAUGUAGCCUGCCCAAAACUGACAUAUCAGCUAUUCCAACAUUGCAGCAACUGGGCCUUGUUAAUGGAAUUCUGCCACAACAAGGAAUUCAUAAGGAAACAGACCUACUAAAAUGUAUUCAAACAUAUUUGUCUCUUUUUCGAUCUCAUGGAAAAGAAACGCAUCUGGACAGUCAGACACACCGAAGCCCUACUCAGUCACAACCAGCUUUCUUGGCCACUAAUGAAGAAAAAUGUGCCAGAGAGCAAAUUAGAGAGGCCACAAGUGAAAGAAAGGAUUUAAACAUACAUGUGCGAGAUACAAAAACAGUGAAGGAUGUACAGAAGGCAAAAAAUGUGAACAAGACAGCUGAAAAAGUUAGAAUUAUAAAAUAUUUGUUGGGAGAGCUCAAGGCCCUGGUAGCAGAACAAGAGGAUUCAGAAAUUCAGAGGUUGAUUACAGAAAUGGAGGCAUGUAUAUCUGUACUUCCAACAGUAAGUGGAAACACAGAUAUUCAAGUUGAGAUAGCACUGGCCAUGCAACCAUUAAGAAGUGAGAAUGCUCAGUUACGAAGGCAGUUGAGAAUUUUGAACCAGCAACUCAGAGAACAACAGAAAACUCAAAAACCAUCUGGUGCUGUGGAUUGCAACCUUGAAUUGUUUUCUCUUCAGUCAUUGAAUAUGUCACUGCAAAAUCAAUUGGAGGAGUCACUAAAGAGCCAGGAAUUACUGCAGAGUAAAAAUGAAGAGCUGUUAAAAGUGAUUGAAAAUCAGAAAGAUGAAAACAAAAAAUUUAGUAGUAUAUUUAAAGACAAAGAUCAAACUAUACUUGAAAAUAAACAGCAAUAUGAUAUUGAGAUAACAAGAAUAAAAAUUGAAUUGGAGGAAGCCCUAGUCAAUGUGAAAAGCUCCCAGUUUAAGUUAGAAACUGCUGAAAAGGAAAACCAGAUAUUGGGGAUAACAUUACGUCAGCGUGAUGCUGAGGUGACUCGACUAAGAGAAUUAACCAGACUUUUUAAAACUGUGGACUUAAAUGUUCUGCAAAGUCUUACACAAAAGCCCAAUACAGUACAUGAACUACGGAAAAGCAGAACUGCUCUGAACAAGGAAGAGCAACCCAGCUGGACCAAGACACCAAGUAGUUUGAAUCCAACAAAAUUGACCUUCAAGUAAAAUGGCAUGAACAAACUGUAAGCAACAUGCAAGAACUCAGAGCAUAUUCUUUCCAUGAGCCCUUCCUAAGGAAUCUAGUAGAGGACAAGCUUUCAGACAACCAAAAUGACUAAAGAUACAUAAACAUAAGGAACUAAUGGAAUUGAGCAUCGACGGCUGUUAACCUCAAAAAAGAGCAAACACCAGACAUCAUGAUCAUGUACCUCUUGAAGAAAAGAACACACAACCAUCUAUAAUCUUACAAAAGACAUCAAACUUCAGUCUGAGGAAGACCCUGGAUCAGCUGCCAACUUGCUGUCAAUACAGAGGACAGAGAAACAUGCUGAAUUGCCUCAUGAAUGUGCAACCCCCAGACUCUGGAAAACCUCACAGAUCAAGGGCUUAAGUUAUUUAACAAAUAAUUGUAAGGAAAAGACUGAAAAGGCAAAUCAAAUUAAAAAAAAAAAGAGUGGGGGGAGGGGUAAGGUGCACCCUUGGAAGAUACCAAGAAAAACAAAAGCAGCAGAAGUGACUACAUGAAAGUCAGGUUAGUGGUUACUUUUGGGAGGAGGGAGAAAGGGGGUUGUCAUUGAGGUAGGGCACAUGGAGAGGCUCCUGGGGUGGCUGGCAGAGUUCUAUUUCUUGAUCCAGGUGGUGAUUACAAGGAUGUUCCCUUUAUAAUAAUUCACUAGUCUAUAUAUCUAUAUAUUUGUUUUUUGUGGUUUUCUGUAUUUAUGUUUUAUUUUACAAUUAAAAAAUUUUUAAAAACA